AUACGGAGGGGACAAGCGUUAUUCGGAAUCACUGGGCGUAAAGGACGCGUAGGCGGGUUAUUAAGUCGGGUGUGAAAUCCAAUGGCUCAACCAUUGAACUGCAUUCGAAACUGAUAACCUAGAGUAUGGAAGGGGCAGGUGGAAUUAGUGGUGUAGGGGUGAAAUCCGUAGAUAUCACUAGGAAUACCGAAAGCGAAGGCGACCUGCUGGGACAUUACUGACGCUGAGGCGUGAAAGCGUGGGGAGCAAACAGGAUUAGAAACCCGAGUAGUCC
rnacentral:rRNA from 1 species